rnacentral:rRNA from 1 species
UACGUAGGGUCCGAGCGUUGUCCGGAAUUAUUGGGCGUAAAGGGCUCGUAGGCGGUUUGUCGCGUCGGGAGUGAAAACUCAGGGCUCAACCCCGGGCCUGCAUUCGAUACGGGCAGGCUAGAGUUCGGCAGGGGAGACUGGAAUUCCUGGUGUAGCGGUGAAAUGCGCAGAUAUCAGGAGGAACACCGGUGGCGAAGGCGGGUCUCUGGGCCGAUACUGACGCUGAGGAGCGAAAGCGUGGGGAGCGAACAGG